rnacentral:lncRNA from 1 species
CUUCUUCUUCUUCUUCUUCCGGCUGGGUGCUUUUCCUUGCAUUGAUUUCCGUGCCUGAUUUGUGAACCAGAUCUUGGACCGGGUUCAAACUGUGAACCGGUUUCACCUAUGCUGUGAAUAGGGUUUGAUCCGAGUUGGAGUAAAUGGGUUCUAAUUAGGGACUGAAUCUGAGUCAAGAAUUUGGGUUGGGGAAUCUGUGUUGGGCUGAGUUGAACCUCAUUGGAUCUGUGGGCUGGUUUGGUAUGGGCCUGAGAUCUGAUCUGGACCUGAAUUUGGUUUGGUUCAAUUGGGCCUAAUCUGUUUUGGGCUACAAUUGGUUUUGGGUUUAAAGGAUCCUGAUUUUUGGGGUUUUGGUUUACCUGUUCUUAGGGUCUAUGUCUGAUCUUAGGGGCCCAUUCUUGGAUCCAUGAACUUAGAAAUUUAAGGGAUUGGGAAUAAUUUAAAUUAUGUUUCUUAGUUAAUUAAAUAAUUAAUAUUUAUGUUUAACCAGGGGUUCGUGAUAUAUGUGGCAGGGAUUUUUAAGCGAG